CACGUAGGCGGACUAUUAAGUCAGGGGUGAAAUCCCGGGGCUCAACCCCCGGAACUGCCUUUGAUACUGGUAGUCUCGAGUCCGGAAGAGGUGAGUGGAAUUCCGAGUGUAGAGGUGAAAUUCGUAGAUAUUCGGAGGAACACCAGUGGCGAAGGCGGCUCACUGGUCCGGUACUGACGCUGAGGUGCGAAAGCGUGGGGAGCAAACA
rnacentral:rRNA from 1 species